GUUAGGAAUAUUGGACAAUGGGCGCAAGCCUGAUCCAGCCAUGCCGCGUGAGUGAUGAAGGCCUUCGGGUUGUAAAGCUCUUUAGCCGAUGAUUAUAAUGACUGUAGUCGGAAAAUAAGCCCCGGCUAACUUCGUGCCAGCAGCCGCGGUAAUACGAAGGGGGCGAGCGUUAUUCGGAAUCACUGGGCGUAAAGCGUGCGUAGGCGGCUUUGCAAGUUGGUAGUGAAAGCCCAGGGCUCACCCCUGGAAUUGCUCUCAAAACUGCAAGGAUAGAAUUCGGGAGAGGAUAGCGGAAUUGUCAGUGUAGCAGUGAAAUGCGUAGAUAUUGACAGGAACACCAGUGGCGUAAGCGGCUAUCUGGACCGAUAUUGACGCUGAGGCACGAAAGCGUGGGGAUCAAACAGGAUUAGAAACCCUAGUAGUCC
rnacentral:rRNA from 1 species